GUAUGUGGCCGUAUCUGCUUCUCAAGGCCCAGGAAGCUAAGCAGGGCUGUGCCUGGUUGGUACUUGGAUGGGAGACAGCUGGGAAUAUGAGGUGCCACAGUCA
rnacentral:rRNA from 1 species